CAUUUUGAUCUGAAAAAACACUAAAGAAUGAGUAUUUCUUCUCAAGAACGAACACCACAAAGCCUUUCCUCAUCUAUUCAGAACCUCAUCUAUUCAGAACCUCAUCUACUCAGAAUUUAAAAACAUUAUUUAAGAAGAGACAAGGAAAAAAAGAUGGAGGGAUGAUUUUUGUGCCAUUUCAGGGUGACAGAAAAGGAAACAAGGAGAGCUGGAAUUGACCUGGAUCCUUGUGGGAAAUACUUCAGUGAUGGAUGGAAGCAGAGGGAGAAAGGACCAAAAUGAAGCCAGGAGGGACAAGAUGGCUGGAAUGUUUGGUUCUGAGGAUUCAUGAUUGUCCUUAACUCACACGGACUGAACUCUCGCUUGCCUGUCUUCCUGGGGCUUGUGUAAGAACAUCCUGCAGAAAAGUAUUAACAACGCGAGUGAUCUUCACUGUGUUUAACGAUUCAUUGAUUGUAAAAGAUGUUUUACCUGGGAUAACAAUGAGUGUGUAUUCCUGGAGCCUAAACUCACUGACCUGGAAGGGGGCCCCGAGAAGUGUGCUAAGUGGACAAAGGAAGCCUGGCUAGAGUUUAUAGUUUUCUAACUAGAUAAUUGAGUGAACUAAAAGGUCUUUUAUUAUCCUUAUGUGGAUUACGUACUUUGCAGGAUAUGCAUAGUCAUUAUUAAAACCA
rnacentral:lncRNA from 1 species